GGAUCCCAUCAGAACUCCGCAAUUAAGCGUGCUUGGGCGAGAGUAGUACUAGGAUAGGUGACCUCCUGGGAAGUCCUCGUGUUGCACCU
rnacentral:rRNA from 1 species